rnacentral:rRNA from 1 species
CCCAGACUCCUACGGGAGGCAGCAGUGAGGAAUAUUGGUCAAUGGGCUUACGCCUGAACCAGCCAAGUCGCGUGAGGGAAGACUGCCCUAUGGGUUGUAAACCUCUUUUGUCAGGGAGCAAUUGGCGCUACGUGUAGCGUUAUCGAGAGUACCUGAAGAAAAAGCAUCGGCUAACUCCGUGCCAGCAGCCGCGGUAAUACGGAGGAUGCGAGCGUUAUCCGGAUUUAUUGGGUUUAAAGGGUGCGCAGGCGGGGGUGCAAGUCAGCGGUCAAAUUGCGGGGCUCAACCUCGCUCCGCCGUUGAAACUGGCGUUCUUGAGUGGGCGAGAAGUAUGCGGAAUGCGUGGUGUAGCGGUGAAAUGCAUAGAUAUCACGCAGAACCCCGAUUGCGAAGGCAGCGUACCGGCGCGCAACUGACGCUCAUGCACGAAAGCGUGGGUAUCGAACAGGAUUAGAUACCCCUGUACU